rnacentral:Y_RNA from 1 species
GGCUGGUCUGAAGGUAGUGAGUUAUCUCAAUUAGUUGUUCAGUCAGUUACAGAUCUACUCUUCCCUCUUUUUACUACUGCACUUGACCUUAA